rnacentral:rRNA from 1 species
GCCUACGGGGGGCAGCAGUGGGGAAUCUUGCACAAUGGGGGAAACCCUGAUGCAGCGACGCCGCGUGAGCGAUGAAGCCCUUCGGGGCGUAAAGCUCUUUCGGCAGGGAAGAUUAUGACGGUACCUGCAUAAGCAGCUGCGGCUAACUACGUGCCAGCAGCCGCGGUAAUACGUAGGCAGCGAGCGUUGUUCGGAGUUACUGGGCGUAAAGGGUGUGCAGGCGGUUGCUUAAGUUUGGUGUGAAAUCUCCCGGCUCAACUGGGAGGGUGCGCCGAAUACUGAGUGACUAGAGUGCGGGAGAGGAGAGUGGAAUUCCUGGUGUAGCGGUGAAAUGCGUAGAUAUCAGGAGGAACACCGGCGGUGUAGACGGCUCUCUGGACCGUAACUGACGCUGAGACACGAAAGCGUGGGUAGCAAACAGGAUUAGAUACCCUCGUAC